AAUCAACGCUGGCGGCGUGCCUCAGACAUGCAAGUCGAACGCGAAAGUCCACUUCGGGGGACAAGUAGAGUGGCGCACGGGUGAGUAACACGUAGGUAAUCUACCUUUGGAUGGGGAAUAACAACCGGAAACGGUUGCUAAUACCGCAUAAUGCAGCGGCACCUAAUGGUGACAGUUGUUAAAGCGGGGGAUCGCAAGACCUCGCGUCUAAAGAGGAGCCUGCGGCGGAUUAGCUAGUUGGUAAGGUAAUGGCUUACCAAGGCUAUGAUCCGUAGCCGGCCUGAGAGGGCGGUCGGCCACACUGACACUGACAUACGGGUCAGACUCCUACGGGAGGCAGCAGUCGGGAAUUUUGGGCAAUGGGCGAAAGCCUGACCCAGCAACGCCGCGUGAAGGAUGAAAUCCCUCGGGAUGUAAACUUCGCAAGAACGGGAAGAAUAAGCCGGUGUUAACACCACCGGUGAUGACGGUACUGUUUGUAAGCUCCGGCUAACUCCGUGCCAGCAGCCGCGGU
rnacentral:rRNA from 1 species